GUGGGGAAUCUUGCGCAAUGGGCGAAAGCCUGACGCAGCCAUGCCGCGUGGAUGAUGAAGGUCUCAGGAUUGUAAAAUCCUUUCACCGGUGAAGAUAAUGACUGUAGCCGGAGAAGAAGCCCCGGCUAACUUCGUGCCAGCAGCCGCGGUAAUACGAAGGGGGCUAGCGUUGCUCGGAUUUACUGGGCGUAAAGGGCGCGUAGGCGGACAUUUAAGUCAGGGGUGAAAUCCCGGGGCUCAACCUCGGAACUGCCUUUGAUACUGGGUGUCUUGAGUAUGAGAGAGGGAUGUGGAACUCCGAGUGUAGAGGUGAAAUUCGUAGAUAUUCGGAAGAACACCAGUGGCGAAGGCGACACACUGGCUCAUUACUGACGCUGAGGCGCGAAAGCGUGGGGAGCAAACAGGAUUAGAAACCCUUGUAGUCC
rnacentral:rRNA from 1 species